CACGUAGGGUGCGAGCGUUGUCCGGAUUCAUUGGGCGUAAAGAGCGUGUAGGCGCCAGGUAGGUCGGUUGUGAAAACUCGAGGCUCAACCUCGAGAUGUCGGCUGAAACCAUCUGGCUAGAGUCCGGAAGAGGAGAAUGGAAUUCCCGGUGUAGCGGUGAAAUGCGCAGAUAUCAGGAGGAACACCGGUGGCGAAGGCGGGUCUCUGG
rnacentral:rRNA from 1 species